UGUGUAGGCGGCAAUCUAAGUCAACUGUAAAAUACUCCGGCCUAACUGGAGACCUGCGGUAGAUACUGGAUUGCUAGAGGAUGGAAGAGAGAAGUGGAAUUCUCGGAGUAGCGGUAAAAUGCGUGGAUCUCGAGAGGAACACCAAUGGCGAAGGCAGCUUCUUGGUCCAUUUCUGACGCUGAGACACGAAAGCGUGGGGAGCAAACA
rnacentral:rRNA from 1 species